rnacentral:ncRNA from 1 species
AGGUCACUCCCAGGAGUGGAGCCUUUGACUUAAUUUAACUAAACACAGGAAACCUCUCCGUGACUGGACAAUUAAAGGCUUUACAGAUGGCGCUUUCUCAGUGAUGUGGUUGGUGGUAAAUGGCUCCUCUUAGUUGGCGGCCUGGUUUGUCUGGUUAAGUUCUCUGUGCUAACUAGUGUGACCCAUGACAGCUGGUGUCCAACAUCUUAGAGGGACAAGUGGCAUUCAGUCACAUGAGAUUAAGCACUAACAGUUCUGUGAUGUCCUUGGAUAUCUGGCGCUGUGUUUGCUACAUGUACUUAUGGUGAUAGUAAUGGGAUUGUAAUUAUUUCCCAUGGAUGAGGAAAUCCCAGUCUGUGUCAUAACGUCAUGUUGAAGAUUUCCCUGCUCU